rnacentral:tRNA from 1 species
GAGGGUAUAGCUCAGUGGUAGAGUGUGUGCUUUACAUGCACCAGGUCCUGGGUUCAAUCCCAGUACCUCCA